UACGGGAGGCAGCAGUAGGGAAUCUUCCGCAAUGGGCGAAAGCCUGACGGAGCAACGCCGCGUGAGUGAUGAAGGGUUUCGGCUCGUAAAACUCUGUUAUUAGGGAAGAACAAAUGUGUAAGUAACUGUGCACAUUUGACGGUACCUAAUCAGAAAGCCACGGCUAACUACGUGCCAGCAGCCGCGGUAA
rnacentral:rRNA from 1 species